UUUCCAUAAAGUCUGAAAGCAUUAUGACAAUAAAACUGUAUACGAAGAAGGUGAUAAGUUGAAUUUGCUUACAUUUGUGUUCCACUAAUUAACAAGCAAAAAGAUUUAGUUUUUCUGGUGAAUUCGCUCCAUGAUUGCUUGGAACAUUGGGCUGUAUUAGAACCUCACACACUUAGCCCAGAAAUUCUCAACGCACUAAAAAAGAUAGAAAACGAAAAGAUCAAAUCUUUAUUAACAAAGAAAAUUCAGUACACUCAAAUUACAACUCCAUGCAAAAGAACCACAUAACACCAAUUAUAUUACAGAUUACACUCAUCUAUAUUACUUGUUUAUUAGAAGAUAUUGUAAUUCUAAUACCUUUUUUCAGACCAAACUGCAACACCCCAUAGAUGGAAUUUGCCAUUGUUUUCAGUCAACCAGAGAUCUCAAUGGCAUUGACAUCUGGUUUCUUGACCUCCUCUUUAGGAACAGUCACUGUCAAGACUCCGUUCUCCAUGCUUGCCUUAACCUCGUCAACUUUUGCAUUCUCUGGCAGCCUGAAUCUUCUUAAGAAUUUGCCACUUGAUCUCUCAACUCUAUGCCACUUAUCGUUCUUCUCUUCCUUCUCUUUGCUUCUCUCUCCACUUAUCUGCAACACCCUGCCCUCUUCUACCUCCACUUUCACUUCCUCUUUCUUUAUUCCUGGAAGAUCAGCCUUGAAAACGUGAGCCUCCGGAGUUUCCUUCUAGUCUAUGCGCGUCUUGGCAAAUGCUGAAGUUACAUUUGCGGACUCAGAGCGAGGAGCUGAGACUGAGAGAGAUGUGCUUGGGAAUGGGAAGUCAUAGAAGGGAUCCCAGAAGUCGAGAGAGAAAGGAUCGAAGACGUUGGUUCUCCGGCUACCGAAGAAGCUGCUUGGAAUGAGAGACAUUUUUCUUGCUUGGUUUUUCAAAUGGGAAUUGAGAGAAAAGAACAAGAUUGCUCACUGAAGGCUUAAUUUGUAUUUGUGUAUUUCUAUGCUUAGAUCUGGGGUUUGAAGAGGGGAAGGAAGGUGGUAUAUAUGGGGUGCGGUUUCUUAACUGUUAUAUGAUGAAACUUCUAGAAGUAUAUGGUUAGUUCUCGAUGGUUCACGAACAAGGAAACAGGAGAUCUUUCUAGAAUGUUAGAGGAAAUUGGAGUAAAGGAUCGUGUCUGACGUAUGUGAGUAAUUAUACAGUACAACAACUAUGGUAUAUUUAGGCAAUUUUAUAUAGUAUAAUAAAUUAAUAUAUAUAUAUAUAUAUAUAUAUAUAUUAACUAAAAAUAGAUGAUGAACGCUUAAAACAUGAUAACUCAUUUAAUUUUUUUAAAAAAUUAUUUUUUAUACAUAUAUUUUUGUUUUAUUAAUUUAUUAUUUUAUAAUUUCUCCUCCUGUGGCUGCAUGCAAAAUAUAAGCCCAUGCCUCAUUCUCUUCACUAGUGGGAAAAGUUCUUAAAAUUUAAGAAUAAAUAAUCAUAUCUUAUAAAAUUUAAGAUACUUGUUCAUAUGUAAAAAAAAAAAAUUAAUAAAAUAUAUUACUAAAAAAGUAAAAUUACAAUUAUAAUUUUUCUUUUAGUAUUUUAAAUGGUAAACGGAUAAUAAUUUAUUUUAGUCAUUAAUUUUUUUAAUAAUUUGAUCAAUAAAUUUUUUAAUUAUUUUUUUAUAGUGUAUACCAAAUUAUUUAUUUUAUUAUUUUAUGUAGUUAUUAACUUAUUUUAUUGAUAUUACAUAACAAGACUAUUGAUAUUACAUAAUAAUCCCCUAAAAUAAACCGUAAGCUGUCGCGACAUAUAUUUAUGUGAUAAGGAUAAGUUGAGUAGGAAAUGUAGUUCAUCCCUAGAGAAGAAAGAUUCGAACACCAUAAUAUUUAGUGCGUCGUAUUUCGCCUUUUACCUGUAAUCAUUGGAUUGCCAAUUUAUUAGUCGUCAUUUCGCCUUUUACCUGUAAUCAUUGGAUUGCCAAUUUAUUAGCUGAUAAUAUUUCUUACUAAAUAGCCGACCACAUUAUUAUUGAAUUAUUGAAUAUUCAACACUAUAUUUCUGCACAGAAAUAAAAGUACGCUAUCCUGUACGACUAAAUCUCUAAGCAAUUUAUUAUAUUCUCCUUUUGAGAUAAUGACUUAAGCGUCAGAGUGAUUACUGUGGGUACUCAUCAUCACCUCAUGUUUUCUUCCUUCCUUACAGAUCAUAACCAAUCACAAUACAUUUUCGAUUCAGCUAUGUCGUCUAUCUAAUGUCAGCAAUAUCAAUUAUUUUAAUUAAAAAAUAUAUUAACCCUUAAUAUAUAUAUAUAUAUAAAUUAUUAUUUAAUUUUAUACUAUGAAAAAAUUUAUUAGUUAAUUUUUUAAUUUUAAGAAAAAUAUAUUAAAAUUUUAUAAAAUUUUUAAAAUAAAUAUAUUAAUUAAUCAAUCCAUUAAUUAUAGCGAUUAAAUAUUUAUUAUUUUUAGUCAUUCAGUUUCAAAAAAAUAUUAAAUAUCAGUUUUCCUUUUUCUUUAAGAAAAUUUUGAUAAUUUAAGAUGCGGUAAAUCUAUUAUUUGUCCCCGCAUCUCUCUAAAAUGUGACAAAACAACAUGAUUUAUUUUUUUUUAACCCGGAUUCAGGACAAAUUUUUUUUUCAAACCUAAUUAAGUAAAAUGUCACAUUCCUUAUCAGAAGACUUAGUAAAUUCGUCUCGUCAAGGCCACAUGCGGUACUUAGACCAAUUCUCAGGGCUAAGUCAGCCUUCCCUCUAGCAACAGUUCAACAAGAGGAGGUUGAAUUCAAAAAAGUGCAGAGCACCCUUGGAAGCUAUGGCCAAUGGACACAAGAAAUAAAAGAAAGAAGAUAAGUAAUUGUAGAAGAUUGAAGAUGGGAAGUUUGCACUUUUAUUAAUUCAGAACAGAUUUACAAGUGGAGAAAUAGGGCUCUCUUUACAGGGGUUUCUCUCAUAGUAUACUCAAAAUGUAGCAUGUACAACAUAGCCAAUUCUUAGCAGGAGGGGUAUUUAUAGUGUUCCCCUACCUCCUUAACUAUUGGCCGAAAAUAAUUGAGAAAAUAAAUUAAAAAUAGGAAAAUUCUUCAGCCACAUAAGUGGUAGGACAGUUGGACCAAUCAGAGGCUUGCAUUUGGCCCAAUCGCCUUAAAAUAGGUGGGUUGCCGCCUAUGAGACCGGUGGUUCCAGAAUUCUUUGGAGAAUUCACCCAUCAACGCCUGCAGGGGCUUGCACGGGUCUGGGACUUAUUGGGGCGAGGACUGCGUGCCUUUCCCCCGUGUCUUGGGUGCUUGGCGAGAUCACAGGCAUCCGGGCUGCUAGCCCUGGCAAGCCCGCUGCUCACUUGUGGAGUUCUACUUGCCUUGCCGAGGUUCCACAGCCCAGGCAUUCCUACUGCCCCAGCCAACUCCGCAGAUCAAGCCUUCAUGCGGCAAUCAGCUUUACCAAGUAUCCAAGUUCCCUCUUGGCAGGCCUACGAGACAUCCAGACUUCUUGUCAAGCCUACGGGACAUUCGGGCUCAUCCUCGGUAGGCCUACGGGACAUCCGAGCUUGUUCAUGGUUGGCCUAUGGGACAUCCGAGCUGCCUGUCGCCAGGCUAGCUGAGCAUCACGCUGCUGGCUGAUUUUGCCCAACAGGUUUUUUCGCCUAUCAAUCCUGCCAAGCAUGCCUUCCAUCCUGCUAGCCAAUCCUUCAACAGGCCUCCAGCCAAUCCGAGUUAGGCAAUUCUCCUCCAAUUUUAGCAACUCAGCCCGCCAAGGCUCAAAAGCCUAUUUCUAGCCUACAUCAGCUCCUGAUGAUGGCCAAUUGGGCUACUCUGCCAAUUGGACUUGCGGGAGCUCCUUAGGUGGGUAACAUUCUCCUCCAACUAAUGUGGUGAUGCCCUCAUCGCUCCUUGCCAGUAAGCUACCACCUCACCUUCAUUUUUCCAUAGAUUGAGCUCAUGCUCCCAAGUAGCUUCAGCAUGAGACAGGCCCUUCCAGCAUACCAAGUAUUCUUUAUAACUUGGAUAGUUUGCUCUCCUUAGCACCACCCGAUACGAUACUAUCUCCUUCACCUGGUUAGCAUAGCUCAUGCCAACAGCAGCUAGUGCUCAUUAAGACACUCUUUUACUUGGUUCACCCUCAUCCUUGUGAAAAGGUUUCAACAUGCUCACAUGAUGUUCUGGCAGCUUCACUUGAUAUGACACAUUUCCAAUCCGUUUCUCAAUCGGGAAGGGGCCCUCAUAUCCUUGAAGAAGACCCUUAUGGACCUUCCCAUAGUUCAUCAAUAAGUGUGGAAGGAGUUUAACCAUAACCAAGUCUCCCUCCUUAAACUCCACAUGCCUUUUUGAUACAUUGGCCCAUUUCUUCAUCUUCUUCGAAGCUUUGCUAAGGUAUUCUUUAGUAAUUUCUCUCUUUUCUUGCCAACCCUUAGCCAUCUUGUAAGCACCUGGACUCUUUCCUUCAUAGCUUGUGGCAAUUGUGUGAGGAGUGAGAGGUUGUCUCCUCGUGGCAAUCUAAAAUGGGCUAGCUCUAGUUGCCUCAGAUUUCUGCAAGUUGUAGGAGAAUUGUGCCACAUCUAAGAGCUGCACCCAGUUCUUCUGAUUAGCACUGACAAAGUACCUUAAGUACAUUUCCAACAAAGCAUUCACCCUUUCUGUCUGCCCAUCUGUUUGUGGAUGGAAUGAGGUUGAAAAAUUCAGCUCCGUGCCAAGCAACCUGAACAGCUCGGUCCAGAAUUUUCCCGUGAAGCGUAUAUCACGGUCACUCACAAUAGACCGAGGUAUGCCCCAAUACUUGACAAUAAAUCUAAAGAACAACCUAGCAGUAUCUUCAACAUUGAAUUUAUCCGGAACAGGGAUGAAAGUAGCAUACUUGUUGAAUCCGUCCACAACUACCAUGAUGUUGCCACACCCAUCCACUUUUGAAAGUCCCACAAUGAAAUCCAUAGAAAUAGACUACCAUGGCUCCUCGGGAAUGGGUAAAAGAUCCAAUAGUCCAACUGGUUUCCUCUGGUCACCCUUGUCUUGCUGACACACCAAGCAAGUUGUCACAUAGGCCUCCACAUCAUACUUCAGCCAAGGCCAAGAGUAGGCAUGCUCCACCAGUAUCUUGGUGUGAUUUAUGCCAGGGUGACCAGCCACAGAGAAUCAUGGCUUUUCCUUAUAAUAUCCCUGUGCAAGUCUCCCCAAUCUGGGACAUACAAGCAACCUGAGUCUGUCUUCAAAAGCUCCCCAUCAACAGAAUACUUGCACACUCUGCCAAGCCGUGCCUAGUUCAACAACUCUUGCAACUUGAUAACGGUUGUCAAAACCAUAAAAAAUAACCUAUUAAUAAUAAACAAUUAAGAACUGCAGAUAGUGGUAAUAGGGUCGAAUUUACAGGGAAUUGACACUUAGGACUUUCUUAACAAUAACUUGGGCAAAUUAAUAAUAAAAGUAAAAUAAAGAGAGUGGUUUUUGAUGAUGAUGAACUAAGAUUAAAAUUAAAGUAGUAUAAGAAAGCAAUUAUUAAAAGAUGAGUAAAUCAAUGAUAAAAAGAUUCUAGUUGAAGUGUAGGAUACUUUAAUUCUUCUAUUUGUUUCAAUAAAUUAGUUUAGGUUGUGGAAGACUCUCCACACAACCAAAUCUCUCCUUAAGUUUAGUUUGAUUAGGAAAUGUUUGCUAAUCAAACACUAGUUAACAAGUCGCCAAGGAAUGUCCUUGGAGGUUUUUACUUUUCAACUGUCACUGCUUUAAGAAAUAGAGAAACCUAAUUCUAACUUAGCCAACCACGUAGUUAGUUAGAUCAUGCAACCUCUGAGUUGUUACCCUAAUUAUUAUUUGUGUUUGAACAAUCUAAGCAAUUACGGACCUAAAUUAUUUAAACUAAAAAUAUAUUACUUUGCAAUUAAAAGUAACGGGUCCUAUUGAUCAUAACAGCAAGGCAAUAAUAACAUGAAGAAUAAAGUUGCAUAAAUACUGAAAAAUAGAAGUAUUGACAAUAGAGUUUCAGAUCUCCCAAUUCAUAAUCAAACUAAAAUUUCUCCAACUUCAACUAGAAGAAAAUGUAUUUAGCCACUUAUGGUGGGCAAAGAUAACAAAAAGAGAAAAGAAAAAAGAAAAGAAGUCUGAUUCGGUGCUGCUGAGGCUCUUCGAAUUGGUGAUGUUCUGCUGCUGCUGGUUGCUGCCUUUUUAUAGAUGCAAAAACUCUAGAUUAGUCCUUUAUGAGAUGGAAUUCCUUUUUGACUUGGUUUUUUAUUCCUUUCUUGAUUGUGUUUCUUCAUAAAUAGACUUUCUUGUGUGAAUGAAUUCUUUUUGCACAGUGUUUGAUGUGUUUUAGAUUAGUCUUGGUGUGUUUGAGAUGGAAUAGAACUCUUGAAAUUUGAAUUUUGGUAUUUUCCACCACGCUGCAAUUUUCUUUUCUGUGGUGAUUGAUUUGGCCGGUGAUUUGGGCAAACCCUUUCACGAGUCUGUGCUGUUUCUUCCCUUCUUUGUUCUGCGAUAGUUGAUUUGUCCAGUGAUUUAGGCAAAUCGCUUCUGGCAAAUCAAGAUCUUGAGUUUCAGCUUCUUGCUUCCAUCUACUUGUGCAGCCUUCUUGGCCACUCUUGGGGGUGAUUUGCCCAAAUUGCUUCGGUCAAAUCAACUCUUCAUACAUUUUAGACCAUUUUUCAUCAAUUCUUCAUUCUUUAUCUUUUUCUACAAAAUAUCAUAAAAAAAUACAAAAUUAGCUAGAAAAUGUGUAAUUUAGCAUAAAUAAUAAUAGUAAAAAUGUGGCACACUCGAAGGUGGUUUGGCACCGGGCUCCAGUUCAAUAGCAUGAUCCACCUCUCUCCUUGGUGGUAGCUUCUUAGGCAAUUCUAAUGGCAUCAGCUCCUUAGACUCCUCCAAGACAUCUAGCACCUCCAUGGGAAUGGCAUCAGUCUUCACUUCAGCAUCAUCUCCUUCAAGGAGACAAGAUAGGUUGGCCCCCUCCCCUCCUCCUGACUCCCUUGCUCAGUUGCAUAGUCGAAAGUGAUUGGCUAUGGCUAGAUUUCCCUCGUGCUAGAGGAAUGGUGCAGAUGUUCCCAUUCUCCAUGAUGCACAUUGAAUCAGCAAAGGGAAUGGGGAUUGCCUUUACCUUGUCCAUGAAUUCCAUCCCUAAAACACAAAGAUAAUCAUCCAUAAUCACAAUAGUAAAGUUAAGAGUUCCUAGCCACUCACCUAUUUGCACAUUGACAUCCCUUGCCACACCAUGGACCAUGUUAGGCUUAGAGUUAAUAGCCUUCAGCCAUGCCAAAGUUGGUUCAUAAGCCAUUCCCAUCCGAUUUGCAUCCUCCAGCCUAAGAAAAUUGAUAGAAGCACUAGUGUCAACCAAGGCACAUACCUUCAUGUCCCCUAUAUUAAAGUUAACAUAGAGCUGGCCCUUCUUUUCCUUAGAUGGCUCCUGUUUGCUCACCAUUGCCAACUAGAGUGAUCCCACACUCGCCUCUUCACCCUUCUUGCUGCUCCCUUCCUUGUCCUCUACCAUGGUAGAGAGAUUUUUUUUUUUUUAUCUUUGGACACUCUCUAGCACGAUGAGGGCCUUCACAAAGGAAGCACUUAAUGGGUGGCCGGGAUGCUAAAUUCUUGUUGGAAGAAUAUUCAGACUUCUUGAACUUGAAAGUAUUCCCCUUCUUCUUGCCACUCUUAGGGUUGUCACUUGGCCUAGGGUCAGCUUCAACAACUCUCCUGCCCUUGUGAGGCUUGGCCUUUCCUUUGUCAGGCUGCCUUCUAAACUCCACUAAGGAAUCAACAAUUGAAAUUUUUGUGGCCAAGUCUUGAGCUCCCCUUCUUUGGACUUCUAGCCUUACCCAAUGCUACAGUCCAUCUAAGAAUGCAAACAAAGCUUCAUUAUAUGGGUAGUCAGGGAUCUCAAGAAUUACCUUGGAGAAUCCUUUGACAUAGCCUUGAAUACUCCCUCGUUGGAUCAGCCUUCUUAGCUUGGCUCUUGCCUCCAAGGCAACAUUUUCAAGAUAAAAUUGCUUCUUCAAUUCCUUCUUGAAGUCACUCCAGGUAGCAAUUGUGUAGAGGCCCUUUUCUAUGUCAACAAAACGCCUCCUCCACCACACCAUGGCGGUGUCUGCCAAAUACAGGGAUGUAUUGUCCACCUUAACACCUUCAUCCUUGAUCCCCAUGGCUCUGAAGAAUUGCUCCAUACUCCACAAGAAGUUGUCUAUCUCCUUGGGCAUUUCUGGAGCCUUUGAAAGGGGCAGGUUUCGGCACCUCCAUCCUCUGUGGAGUGGCUGUCAUCCCUACAGACAUAGAUGGACUAGCAACACUCCCUUGCGCCAUAGCUUUCUUUAGCAAGGUGAGCUCGUCCACCACUUCCCUCACUCUGCCAAGCACUCGGUCAAGCUCUUCCCGCAAGAACCGAUUUUCUUCCUUCAGCAUGGCUACUUCCUCCCCCCAGACUGUGGUGGGUCGUCUCAUUAUCACUGGCCAGCCUUUUGAUGGCACCAUUCAAGGCGGUUUGCACUUCCUCUCGGAACUCAUCAGCAGCCGAUGUGAGUUCCUCCAAGUGCAAAUCUAUCUCCUCGAACUUCUCCUCACUAUCCACGAGCUUCAGCUCCACUUUGGCCAGCCUAAUCUCCACAUAACCUAACUGACUAGAAAUUCAAGAGGGUUCACGAGACUUACCCCUGGAUCCUUUCUUUCGUCCAGCGGGUUGAGUCGCCACAAGGGGCUGCUCUUCGCCACCAGCUUGGCCACCAUGGACAAAUUGUUCAACUAGAUCUGCCAUGCUCACUUCCUUUGGCUCUGAUAUCACUUGUCACGUUCCUUGCCAGAAGACUUAGUAAAUUCGUGUCUUCAAGGCCAUGUGCGGCACUUAGACCAAUUCUCAAGGCUAAGUCAGCCUUCCCUCUAGCAGCAGUUUAACAAGAGGAGGUUGAACUCAGAAGAGUGCACAAUACUCUUGGAAGCUAUGGCCAAUGGACACAAGCAAUAAAAGAAGGAAGAUAAGUAAUUGUAGAAGAUUGAAGAUGGGAAGCUUGCACUUUUAUUAAUUCAGAACAAAUUUAUAAUUGGAGAAAUAGGGCUCUCUUUACAAGGGUUUCUCUCACAGCACACUCAACAUAUAACAUGUGCAGCAUAGACAAUUCUCAGCAGGAGGGGUAUUUAUAGUGUUCCCCCACCUCCUUACCUAUUGGAUGAAAAUAAUUGAGAAAAUAAAUUAAAAUAGGAAAAUUCUCCAGCAAUAUAAGUGGUAGGACAGCUGGACCAAUCAGAGGCUUGCAUCUAGCUCAAUUGCCUUGAAACAGGUGGGUUGCCACCUUUGAGACUGGUAGUUCCAUAAUUCUCUAGAGAAUUCACCCAUCAGCGCCUGCAGGGUCUUGCAUGGGUCUGGGACAUGUUGGGGCGAGGCCUGCUCGCCUUUCCCCCCAUGUCUCGGGCACUUGGCGAGGUCAUAUGCAUCCGGCUGCCAGCCCUGCCAAGCCCGUUGGCCACUCUUAGAGUUCUACCUGCCUUGCCGAGGUUCCAUGGUCCAGGCAUUCCUACUGCCCCAGCCAACUCCGCAGAUCAAGCCUUCCUGCAGCAAUCAGCCUUGUUAAGUAUCCAAGUUCCCUCUUGGCAGGCCUACGAGACAUUCGAGCUCCUUGUCAAGCCUACGGAACAUCCGGGCUCAUCCUCAGUAGGCCUAUGGGACAUCCGAGCUUGUUUAUGGUUGGCCUACGGGACAUCCGAGCUACCUGUUGCUAGGUCAGCUGAGCAUCACGCUGUUGGCUGAUUUUGCCCAGUAGGUUUUUUUUUGCCUAUCAGUCCUGCCAAGCAGGCCUUCCAUCCUGCCAACCAAUUCGUCAACAGGCCUACAACCAAUCCGAGCUCGGCAAUUCUCCUCUAAUUUUAGCAACUCAGCCCGCCAAGGUUCAAAAGCCUAUUUUCAGCCUACAUCAGUCUCAGAUGAAAACCAAUUGGGCCAUUCUGGCAAUUGGACUUGCAGGAACUCCUUGAAUGGGUAACAAAAAUGCCCAGGUGUCGCCCUCUUUCAUUUGCCGGUCUCAAUUUUAUUGCUUUGAUUUGCUAACAUUUUCACCUAAAAGUUAGUAUCAAGUCUAGGAAUCUUGCUUCCUUUCUCUUUUCUCUCCUCCUUUUUCUUUUUCUUCUCCUCUUCCUUUGCCUCUUUCCUUCCAUGUUUUUACCUCUGUUUUUCUCCUUCCUUUUCUGUUUCUUCCUUUGGCAAUCUCACUGUCUCAGUCUCCUUUUGAAUUCAAAUUUUAAUUAAAAGUAAUUAUAAAAAAAAUUUAUAGUCAAAAUACAUGCACUUUUUAUUAAUUUUUUAAUAAAAUAAAAUUUGAAUUAUUGAAAAAAUCUUCAUCAUUAAAAUUUAUUUCCAUAAAGUCUGAAAGCAUUAUGACAAUAAAACUGUAUACGAAGAAGGUAAUAAGUUGAAUUUGCUUACAUUUGUGUUCCACUAAUUAACAAGCAAAAGGAUUUAGUUUUUUCUGGUGAAUUCGGUCCAUGAUUGCUUGGAACAUUGGGCUGUAUUAGAAACCUCACAUACUUAGCCCAGAAAUUCUCAACGCACUAAAGAAGGUAGAAAACGAAAAGAUCAAAUCUUUAUUAACAAAGAAAAUUCAGUACACUCAAAUUACAACUCCAUACAAAAGAACCGCAUAACACCCAUUACAUUGCACAUUACACUCAUUUAUAUUACUUGUUUAUUAGAAGAUAUUGUAAUUCUAAUACCUUUUUUCAAACCAAAUUGCAACACCCCAUAAAUGGAAUUUGCCAUUGUUUUCAGUCAACCAGAGAUCUCAAUGGCCUUGACAUCUGGUUUCUUGACCUCCUCUUUAGGAACAGUACUCCGUUCUCCAUGCUUGCCUUAACCUCGCCAACUUUUGCAUUCUCUGGCAGCCUGAAUCUUCUCAAGAAUUUGCCACUUGAUCUCUCAACUCUAUGCCACUUAUCGUUCUUCUCUUCCUUCUCUUUGCUUCUCUCUCCACUUAUCUGCAAAACCCUGCCUUCUUCUACCUCCACUUUCACUGCCUCUUUCUUUAUUCCCAGAAGAUCAACCUUGAAAACGUGAGCCUCCGGAGUUUCCUUCCAGUCUAUGCGUGUCUUGGAAAAUGCUGAAGUUUCAUUUGCGGACUCAGAGCGAGGAGCUGAGACAGAGAGAUGUGCUUGGGAAUGGGAAGCCAUAGAAGGGAUCCCAAAAGUCGAGAGAGAAAGGAUCGAAGACGUUGGUUCUCCGGCCACCAAAGAAGCUGCUUGGAAUGAGAGACAUUUUUCUUGCUUGGUUUUUGAAAUGAGAAUUGAUGUCGGAAAAAUAAGAUAAAAUAAUGAAAAUUGAGUCGUGUUGAAUAUUGUAUUUAUUUUGUAAUUUCCUGGGUUAAACACAUCCUUCUAGAAUUUUAAUUUUCAGGAUCAGAUGAUAAGAAUUUAUAUCUUAUUUAUAACCAAGCAGAAAAUACAGGAGAGAAAAAAUAAAGUAGAAAAAAUGGAAGUAUCUUUCUUUAUAAAAAUGGAGGAUAUUUAUAGUAGAAAAAAUGACCGGGGUUAUAAAAAUAUUGAUAUAAUAUAAUAAAAUCAUAACGAUCAGAUUUAAUAUUGGAUUUAAAUCUCAUAAAUAAAAUCUUUUGAAAUCUAAACUAAUUUUAUAGUAAUCUCCCACAUAUUUUAAAAGAUUUUUCAUUGCUGAAUUAAAAAAUUUAGUGUAUAUGUUUAGAAUUUGGUGUCUUUUGAACUAUGAAUUAGACCUAGAUUAAUAAGACUUAACAUACAGAGUAAUUGGUGAAACUUUUGUUUCUAUGAAUCAAAAACUCUCUUUUGUAUUAUAAUAUCCCAUCAAUCUCAUAACACUUCACAAAUCUUAUUGUCAACGCUGUUUUGCGCUAAUAGGCUAUGUGCGCGCUUGGUAGUUCAUAAGUGCUCUAGAAAUUAUACCACAAUCUCAUAGAAGCGGCUCCACUCCAGACCUAUAUAGGUGAUAUCAUCAAGUGUAUACUGCAAUUUAUACACCACCUAUAAAGAAUAUGAAUAUCAUUAAGAGUUUUUAUCUCAUCCUCUCAUUAGUGCAGUCUAGCACUUCUUACACCAUAUGAAGGGAUAACAAUAAAUAGUGCUAGCAGAACUAACAAGUGACUUGUUAUUACCCAUAUGAACCUUUUUCAUGGGAUCUCCAAUCACAAAGGUUGGGUUUCCAUCACUAUUAAUUUCAAAUUGACUCCCAUUCCCCUCGAUGUUUCAUCUAUUAGUUUUCUCCCCAAAGGUUUAGCUAGAGAAUCGGCCAAAUUCACUUCUGACUUCACAUAAUCAAUGGAAAUAGUUUUAUCUUUCAGCAGCUGCUUAAUAACAUUAUGUCUCAGAUGAAUAUGUCUAUUUUUACUAUUGACAAUUUUAUUCUUUGAAAUGGCUAUUGCCGCUUAGCAAUUACAACGCAUUAGUACAGAUGGUGUUGGUUUUAUUCCUAACGGAAUAUUUGCUAAGAAGUUUUUUAGCCACUCAGCUUUAGUUCCAGCUAAUUCUAGAGCAAUAAACUCUGAUUCAAUAGUAGAUUUAACAAUGAUAUUUUGUUUGGUUGAUUUCCAUGUAAUUGCACCACCUCCUAGAGUAAAUACAUAACCACUAAUGAAUUUUAUCUCAUCUAAAUUUGAAAUCCAGUUAGCAUCACUGUAUCCUUCUAAUACAGCGGGAAAUUCACUAUAUAAUAUACCAUAGUUCAUGGUACCUCUCAAAUAUUUCAUUAGUCUAAUUAAUGCAGCACUAUGUUCAGUAUAACCUAUAAACAUGCAAACAUAAGUUUUUGAACCUAUUUUUCAUUUUUUAAGAUCAGGAAGAAUUAUUUCAGCAAGACACUCCCAUACUUUUAAAUAUUUUAAGUUAGGUGUAUAAUAUUUCCAAAGUUCAUAGGGUGUUUUAUCAGUUUUCUUAUAGGGUAUCCUAUUUUGUAGAUAACAAGCAGAUAAUAAAGCUUCCUUGAAAGUGAUCGUUGGAAAGAGUACUGAUAAUUGUAUGCCUACAUACCUUAUUAGAAUAGACCUAAAUUUCAUGCAACUUUGGAUCGACAGCAGUUACAGAUCUCUUGAUUCUGUGAGUGCUGAAGCAACGCCAUGCAUGCCAAGUAUUGAAAAAUUUUCUCUUGCCAUCUUUUAAAAUUCUGACCCGAAAAACCUUAAUCUUCAAGAUGUCAGGAAAAAGUUUGGCAUAUGGAACAGCAGGCAGAAGAGACCCACCAUUUGCAGCAGUAAGAAGCGUGGCGGCUGGAAGUACAGCAGAAGCAGAGGCAGUGAUAACGUCAUUGGAAGCAAAUUGUGCAAAAGUAGAGAUAGUGACAACAUUUGAUUCCAUUUGUGUGAAGAUAAAUCCUUAAGAUUGUUGAAAAAAUAGGAUAAAAAAAUGAAACUUGAGUCAUGUUAACACUGUUCUUAAGGAUUUAUUUUGUAAUCCCCUAGGAUUAAACAUGUCCUAGAAUUUAAUUUCUAAAAUCAGGACAAUAAAAAUUUAUUUUUGAUUUAUAAUCUAGCAGAAAAUACAGAGGAGAGAAAGAAUAAAGUAGAAAAAAUGGGAGUAUCUUUCUUUAUAAAGAUAAAGGUUAUUUAUAAUAAAAAAACGAUCAUUAUAAACGGUUAAAUUUAAUAUUAAAUUUAAAUUUUAUAAAUAAAAUUUUUAAUAACUAUAAAAUCUUUUAAUGAUCAUAAAAUAUUUUGAAAUUUAAACUAAUUUUAUGAUAAGAGAAAAGAACAAAAUUGCUCAGUGAAGGCUUGUUUAUAUUUGUGUAUUUCUGUGCUUAGAUCUAGGUUUGAAGAGAGGAAGGAAGGAGGUAUAUGUAGGCUGCGGUUUCUUAACUGUUAUAUGAUGAAACUUCUAGAAGUAUAUGGUUAGUUGUCGAUGGUUCACGAAGAAGGAAACAAGAGAUCUUUCUAGAAUGCGGAGGAAAUUGGAGUAAAGGAUACGUGUGUGAGUAAUUAUACAGUUAAAUUAAUAAAUUGAUAUAUAUAUAUUAAAAAAUAGACGACGAAGACUUAAAAUAUGAUAAUUAAUUUAAAUUUUUUUAAAUAAAAUUUGAGAUUGAUAGAGUUAAAUCUGAAAUUUUUUAAAUUUAUUAAGAUAUAUUAAUAUGAUAUUAAGUUUGUGAAUACAAUUAAUUUAUUUUUUUUUUAAAUUUUAUUUUUUAUACAUAUAUUUUUAUUUUAUUAGUUUAUUAUACCAUAUAAAUAUGCUGUAUAAUUUACAUGGUACAACUUUUUGUAUUUUAUAAUUUUUCCUCAUGUAGCUGCAUGCAAAAUAUAAGCUCAUGCCUCAUUCGCUCCACCAGUGGAAAAGUUCUUGAAAUUUAAGAAUAAAUAAUUAUAUCUUAUAAAAUUUAAGAUACUUGUUGAUAUUUAAAAAAUAAUAAUAAAAUAUAUUAUUAAAAAAAUAAAAUAAUUUUAUUGUUAAUAUUUUAAAUGGUAGAUAAACAGAUAAUAAAUUAUUUUAAUUACUUUUUUAUAAUUUGAUUAAUAAAUUUUAUUUUUAUUUUUUAUUUUUUUAUAUCAAAUAAUUUAUUUUAUUAUUUUAUAUAAUUAUUAACUUAUUUUAUUGGUAUUAAAUAAUAAUAAUUUAAAAAAGACAAUAUGCUAUUUGAAGACAGAGUAAGGUGGCAAGAGUCUAAUCAGGUGAUAUUCGAUUCCAUCGAGAGAAAAGAGGACUCAAAAACUUCAAGCCGGUCACAAUUUGAUUCUUCGUCAAAACUUGCCCUAUCUUGGAGAGGUCGGAUCUUCUUAGGAAAUUACCGUUAGCGCCUACAAUUCGGCAGAUUCUUUUACGCCUGUAAUCACAGGAUUUCUGAUCAAUUAGCCGAGAAGAUCUCUUAUCAAUGAACCGGCCACAUGCCCAAAUCAUAAAGGCAACUAUCUCUUUCGAAUCUAAAGAAUCGAAAAUCAGCAGGGGAUCUAUGAUUCUACAUGACACUCGCCCAAAGUAAGCAGUAAACGGUCACCAUAAGACAAGACUACGUGGUAAGAAUCUGAUAAACCUAUACGUGGUCCCAUCAUUAGAAAAGAAGACCCGGGAGAUUCAAGUCAGCCUCAAGACAGGUCGAUCUCAAGUCGAACAGACUCACCCUUUUAACUUCAGGAUGAAACUCCAUAAGAAAAUUACUAUUAACAACUAUAAUCCAGCAGAUUUUUUUUAAGCAUGUGAUAACAAGAUUCUCGAUCAAUUAGUCUAUGAAGAUCGCUUACUAAUGAUCUGGCCGCAUAAUCGUAGAAUUAUCAGGAAAUAAUAUAUUUAUUUAUAUUUUCUUAUUGUAAAAAAGAACAAUCGCGGAGAUAAAAGUACAUUAUUCUCUAAUACUAAAUCUCUAAUACUAAAUCUUUAAACAAUUCAUUGCAUUCUCUUUUCAGAUACUGGCUUUUGCGUUGGAGUGGGUGUCCACUACCUCAAGUUUUCUUUCUUGCAGGUCACAACCAAUUACAGUAUCGCUCCGUUCUGAUCAUGUCGUCCAUCUAAUUUCAACAAUAUUAUAAAUUAUUUAAUUUUUAAUUCGUGCAAAAUUUAAAAAUAGUCAUGUUUCUAAAAAAAAAGAAUUAAAAUAAUGCGUAAAAUAUAUUUUAUUUUUUAAUUUCUAAAAAAUUAAAUUAAUCAUAUUUCUGAAAAUAAUUAAAAUAAUAUGUAAAAAUUAUUUUAAUUUUUAAUUUUAACUUUUUUUAUUUUUGAAAAAUUAAAAUUAAAAUUUUUAUUUUAAAAUUAAGCUUUUCUAAGCUUACUAGAUUUUAAAAUGCAUAAUUUAUAAAAUUAAUUAGAUUUUUUUUUUAUUAUUUGAAAUGUAAUAUCUAAAUUUAAUUAUUUUAUUUUUAUUUAAUUUUUUAUGAUACUUUUAAUUUAUAUUUUUCAAUUGCACUUCCAUUAUGUUAACAAAUUUACAGUUGAAACCCAUAUUAUUUUUUAUGCGUAUUUCAUAAUUAAUAUAUCAUUGAUUAUUAAAUUAAUUUUAAUAGUUGAAUGGUAAAUUAUUAAUUAACCAAUAAAAAAAAUAGAUGGAUCGAUUGAAUUUGAUUACAAAACCAAUUAACUUAUGAUGGAUAAAGAUAAUUUAGAUUCAAAUUUAAUCCAAAUUAACCAUUAAACACCCCUACUAAAGACCCCAGGAGAUCACCACCCCUACUAAACACCCCAAGAAGAUAAACACCCCAUAGAAAUGAACCCUUUCUCAAAAAACUCUCAUAAACAAAUUAGUCUUUCAUGUAUCUCCCUCAAAAAUCACAUUCUAUAAAAGAAAAACACACUAUUAGAAGAAUAAACAAAAGAAAUUAAUAAAAAAAUAAAAAAAAUUGACCCACUCAAAUGUAGAUCUAAAUCUCUGAAUGAGAUAGGGUCUUUGAACAAGGAGCCGACAAAAGAGAGAACUUGAUUUUAGAUGAAGAAUCGGAGAAAAAGAGAAAAAUCUCACUUUAAAAUAAGAGAGAGACCAAUUAAUAAAAAAAAUUUUAAUUUCAGUUAUAGAAUUUUUUAAAAAAACAUCCGGAUAUUUUGCCGCUCAACUACAUCUUAUGCAUACAUUAAGUGAUAUAUAUAUAUAUAUCUUAUUGCUUUUAAAACGAAAUAAAGUUAUUAGUGUUACAUAACAAUCAUCCAAAGUAAGUUAUGAGCGGUCACCGUGAAACAAAUCCACUUGGCAAGAAUCAUGUGAGUAGGAAAUAUAGUCCAUCCCUAGGGAAGAAAGGUCUGGACACCAUGAUACCCGGUGCGUCAUUAAGACUCGUCUUUCACCUGUAAUCACAAGACUGUCAAUUUAUUAACUGGUAAUAUUCUUUAUCAAGUAGCCGAUCACAUUACUGUCAUAUUAUUGAAAAAUUCUAUAUUCAAUACUAUACAUUCCUACACAAAGAUAAAACUAUGUUAUUUUUUAAAUACUAAAUCUCUAAACAAUUUGUUGCAUUCUCCCUUCCAGAUAGUAACUUAGAGUAUCGAAGUUAGUGUCAUUGACACUCUACUACCACCUCACAUUUUCUUCCUUAUAAAUUAUAACUAAUCACAACACAAUUUUAAUUGAGUCACGCCGUCAAUCUAAUCUCAAUAAUAUCAAUUAUUUUAAUUAAAAAAUAUAUUAACUUUUAAUAUAUAUAUAUAUAUAUAUAUUAAUUACACUUAUAAACUUAACCUAAUAGUAAGUGCAUCUGAAUAAAUGAAAAAUCUCAGAUUUUAUUUUUUAAUCCCUAAUCCAUAUUUCAAAAAAUAUAUAUAUAUUAUUAUUUAAUUUUUAUAAUAUAAAAAAAUUUAUUAAUUUAAAAAAAAAUUAAAGUUUUAUAAAAUUUUUAAAAUAAAUAUAUUAAUUAAUUAUUUCAUUAAUUAUAACUUUUAUUAUUUUUUAGCCAUUCUGUAAUACCCGGCUUGAGUCCGGCCUCGGAAUUCCUGUCGUCUGGUGGAAUCUCGGGUGUCGGAACCCUCGAGAAGGGUCAUACAUAUGUUUUCUGAGGUAUUUUGACUUGUUUUAAGGUUUUAAGUAUAAAGGAAAAUGAGUUUUGAAAGAAAAGCAAAAAGGGAGAAAUGCAAAGGUUCGGCCGCCAAACAUUUCAUGGUUUCGGAUUCACGUUCGGCUGCCGAAGGUGGUCUGGCCAGCCACCUAUAAAAAGGGCCAAAGGGUCGGUGGAAGGAGGAUAUUUCUCCUCCACUUGCAGCCAGAGGUGAGUUCAAGCCUCUCCCAAGUUGACUUUCAUGUUUUUCAUGUUUUUCACCAAAUUUUUCAAGAGUUGUAAGAGUUUUGGUGUGUUUUGAAGGUUUUGAGUAAAAAUAGCCAGUUUGGAAGUUUGGAGCUUUGGAAGAGAUUUUCUUCAUAUCUCCACGUUAGGAUCCCUUGAUCUCUUGUUUGGAAGAGGUAAGUCAAGAUCCAGAACCUCUUUUACUGAUUUUUGAAGGUUUUAUGGGAGUUGUAUGAGGUGUAUGCAUGAAUAGGGUUUUGGUUGAGGUUUUGCAUGAGUUAGUGUUUAAGCAUGUGUAAGUGUUGUUUGAUGUGUUGUUUUGGGUUAUAAGUGAGUUUUAGGCCUUUUUAUGCAUGUUUUAUGGUAUGUGCUAGUUGGGAGUAGUUGAUAUGCAUGUUGGAUAGGUUUUGGGUAAGUUUUGCAUGAAGCAGGGCAUGGUUCUGCCCUUCGGGUAAAAGCCAGGUUCGGCCGCCGAAGGAAGGUUCGGCCGCCGAACGUGCUAAGUAGGUGGUUUCGGCUGCCUAAGCUUGCCCCCGAAAAUUGGGACUUUCGUCUCUGGAGGCAAGGUUCGGCCGCCGAAGGUGCCGCCGAAGGUAAGGGACUUUCGUCUCUGGAGAGCCUUUUGGCCUCCGAACCUUGCCCCCGAAGGGUUUUGGCCGCCGAAGAAGGGAGUUCGGCCGCCAAACAUGCAUGAGUUUCGUCUCUGGAAUGGGUUUUCGGCCGCCGAACCUGCCGCCGAAAGUGCCCUGUCCAGCCUUCCUUUGCAUGUUUUAUGUGAUUGUUCUAGGAUGGUUUAGAGGGGUUUUGGGGAGUUUCUUAGAUAUGUUCUUGAGUUAGUUUGGUCCCUCAUUUGAGUCCACCUGUGUAGGUACGGACCAGAGGAAUCAGGGAAGUCAGCAGUGAGUACUGCAGCAGAACCUGCAGCGUUAGUUCAGAGUCUAUCAGAGGUGAGUGGAACUUCUACUGUUUUAAAAUGCUUUUAGCAUCUUUCAUGCAUCAUGAUGAGUAUGGUAGGAUGAUUGCAUUAGUUUCACGAAGAUGGCGCAUUGCAUUGCAUAAUACGAUGUAUAUAAUGAUGUGGAUGGACCAAGGCGACCCCAAUAGCCCUACCUCUGUUAUGUAAGACCUGGCCGGGCCAGGCAGGCAGAGAGACUCUGUUAUAAGACCUGGCCGGGCUAGGCAGCCAUCUGUAGGUAAGACCUGACUAGGUCAGGCAGCAGAGAUAGUAAGACCUGGCCGGGCCAGGCGGGCAGAGUGAGUAAGACCUGGCCGGGCCAGGCAACUUGAGGUUAUAAGACCUGGCUAGGCCAGGCAUCCUCCUAGGAUAGGGAUUUUUGGUGGUCAUGUCUAUCUGCGACUCAGACUGGACUGGCUGUGAUGUGAGGCAUUCCAUGAGAUCAUGUUUUAUAGUUCUACUCAUUGGGCUUGUAUAGCUCAUCCCUCACCCUCUACCCCAGUCUUGCAGGUACAGGUACCAAAAAGAGUCCAGCAGGGUAUGGAAGAAGAGAAAGUAUUGUAAUAGCUAAUGUGGAUAUGAAAUUGUAAAGAGAUAGGAGUUUUGUAAUAUGAUGUAUAGAAAUGUGCUUGACCAUUGAUAGUAUCCCUUUUGUAUAUACAUGGUCAGUGUAUGUAUGUUUUAUGUUAUGUAUAUGAGAAAAUCAGGCUUAACAUUAUGAGUUUGAUCCGCCUAGAGCAAAGAUGAGAGCUCUAGUAGGGAUGUUGAUAGUACAGCGUUAGUGCAUGCACAGGUUAAGCCUUGAAACAAAAAAAAGUUGUAAUUGAAUACAGAAAAUGUAUGAUCAUGUAUGGGAUUUCACAGGUAUACAAAGUUCACAGAACGCUUGCUACGGGUCCCGGCGGCCUUAAACUGAUCUGAAUCCUAGCGCCGGUAGCAGUUCGGUAUCCGGGCUGUUACACAUUCAAUUUUAAAAAUACAUUAAAUAUCAAUUUUUCCUUCUCUUUAAGAAAAAUUUAUUAAUUUAAGAUGCGGUAAAUCGGUUAUUUGUCCCCGCGUAGGACAAUUUUUUUUCCAAACCUAAUUAAGCAAAAUGCCCAGAUCUUGCCCUCUUUCAUUUGCCGGUCUCAAUUUCAUUGCUUUAAUAACAUUUUCACCUAAAAGUUAGUAUCAAGUCUAGGAAUCUUGCUUCCUUUCUCUUUUCUCUCCUCCUUUUUCCUUUUCUUCCCCUCUUCCUUUGCCAAAUUCCUUCCCUAUUUUUGCCUCUGUUUUUCUCCUUCCUUCUCUGUUUCUUCCUUUGGCAAUCUCACUGUCACAGUCUCCUUUUGAACACAAAUUUUAAUUAAAAGUAAUUAUAUAAAAAAAAUUAUAGUAAAAAUACUUGCACUUUUUAUUAAUUUUUUAAUAAAAUAAAUUUUGAAUUAUCGAAAAAAUCUUCAACACUAAAAUUUAUUUCCAUAAAGUCUGAAAGCAUUAUGACAAUAAAACUGUAUACGAAGAAGGUGAUGGUGAUAAGUUGAAUUUGCUUACAUUUGUGUUCCACUAAUUAACAAGUAAAAAGCUUUAGUUUUUUCUGGUGAAUUCGCUCCACGAUUGCUUGGAACAUUGGGCUGUAUUAGAAACCUCACAUACUUAGCCCAGAAAUUCUCAACGCACUAAAGAAGGUAGAAAACGAAAAGAUCAAAUCUUUGUUAACAAAGAAAAUUCAGUACACUCAAAUUACAACUCCAUACGAAAGAACCACAUAACACCGAUUACAUUGCAGAUUACACUCAUCUAUAUUACUUGUUUAAUGGAAGAUAUUGUAA
rnacentral:lncRNA from 1 species